CGUGCGCACACGGAGCUCCCGGUCCCCGCCCCCGCCGGCGACCCCGGAUCAGGGGGUCGCGACCCUUGGGCUGAUUCCCUCGGCGGGCAGCCUCCGGGGAGCAGCCUGCCUCUGCUGGACUACUUUCCUCCUGAGACAGCUCUUCUUAAAGACAUUGCUUUGUGUUGAGUAGAAACGUGUUUCCACCAGGCAUUCACCCUUUGGUUCCACUGUCCGGUGCUCAAGAGAAUAAAUCUAAACCCUCUUCUCCAGGGCAAGCCAACAGUCCUUCAAGUACAGGUCGCUUCAAAUGCUUACCAAGACAGCUCAUUUAUUUAUUUGACACAUGUUCAUUGAGUGCCUCCUAUGUGCUGGUUGCUGUUCUGGGCUCUGAGGUUAUAACAGGGCAUCAUUGGACUCUUUGUAGGAAUAGCAAGAUCUCCAGGGUGUGCACACCUCUGGGCACCUCUGGAUUUUCAUCAUACUCAGAUAAUGUGGAACACUUCAGGGUGCAGAAGAGAGUGGAGAGUUGCCAGAGAAAUACUCUUGAGUAUAUCCCAGGAGUGAAAUUGCUGGAGUGGACUUACCAUAUGGUAACUCUAGUUUUGGUUUUUUAAGUAACCUUCAUGCUGUUCUCCAUAGUGGCUGCACCAAUCUACAUUUCUACCAACAGUAUAGAAGGAGUCCCUUUUCUCCAUACCCUCUCCAGUAUUUAUUAUUUGUAGACUUUCUGAUUAUGGCCAUUCUUGUGAGGUGAUACCUCAUUGUAGCUUUGAUUUGCAUUUCUCUAAUAAUUAGCAAUGUUAAUAAGCAUCUUUUCAUAUGCCUAUUGGCAUCUGGAGGUCUUCUUUGGAGAAAUGUCUAUUUAGGUCUUCUGCCCUUUUUUUUUUUAAAUAUAUUGAGCUGUAUGAGCUGUUUGUAUAUUUUGAAAAGUAAGUCCUUGUCAAUCUAUUGGUCGCAUUAUGUAAAAAAAUUUUCUCCCAUUCUGUAGGUUGUCUUUGCGUUUUGUUAUGGUUCUUUUGCUGUGCAAAAGCUUAUAAAUUUGA